rnacentral:rRNA from 1 species
UCCGUAGGUGGAUAAUUAAGUCAGAGGUGAAAUCCUGCAGCUCAACUGUAGAAUUGCCUUUGAUACUGGUUAUCUUGAGUCAUUAUGAAGUGGUUAGAAUGUGUAGUGUGGCGGUGAAAUGCAUAGAUAUUACACAGAAUACCGAUUGCGAAGGCAGAUCACUAAUAAUGUACUGACACUGAUGGACGAAAGCGUGGGGAGCGAACAGGAUUAGAUACCCUGGUAGUCC